rnacentral:rRNA from 1 species
UACGUAGGGUGCAAGCGUUUGUCCGGAAUUAUUGGGCGUAAAGAGCUCAUAGGCGGUUUGUCGCGUCGGCUGUGAAAAACCUGGGGCUCAACCCCGGGCCUGCAGCCGAUACGGGCAAACUAGAAUUCGGUAGGGGAGACUGGAAUUCCUGGUGUAGCGGUGAAAUGACGCAGAUAUCAGGAGGAACACCAAUAGCGAAGGCAGCUCGCUGGGACGUUACUGACACUGAGGCGCGAAAGCGUGGGGAGCGAACAGG